rnacentral:rRNA from 1 species
UGGGGAAUCUUAGACAAUGGGGGAAACCCUGAUCUAGCCAUGCCGCGUGAGUGACGAAGGCCCUAGGGUCGUAAAGCUCUUUCGCUGGGGAAGAUAAUGACUGUACCCAGUAAAGAAGUCCCGGCUAACUCCGUGCCAGCAGCCGCGGUAAUACGGAGGGGACUAGCGUUGUUCGGAAUUACUGGGCGUAAAGCGCACGUAGGCGGAUUAGUCAGUCAGAGGUGAAAUCCCGGGGCUCAACCCCGGAACUGCCUUUGAUACUGCUAGUCUUGAGUUCGAGAGAGGUGAGUGGAAUUCCGAGUGUAGAGGUGAAAUUCGUAGAUAUUCGGAGGAACACCAGUGGCGAAGGCGGCUCACUGGCUCGAUACUGACGCUGAGGUGCGAAAGUGUGGGGAGCAAACAGGAUUAGAUACCCCCGUAGUCC